rnacentral:rRNA from 1 species
UGGGGAAUCUUGCACAAUGGAGGAAACUCUGAUGCAGCGACGCCGCGUGAGCGAAGAAGCCUUUCGGGGUGUAAAGCUCUUACGCCAGGGACGAUAAUGACGGUACCUGGAGAAGCAGCUGCGGCUAACUACGUGCCAGCAGCCGAGGUAAUACGUAGGCAGCAAGCGUUGUUCGGAAUUACUGGGCGUAAAGGGUGCGUAGGCGGCGCUCUAAGUUUGGUGUGAAAUCUCCCGGCUUAACUGGGAGGGUGCACUGAAAACUGGGGCGCUCGAGUAUGGGAGAAGAAAGCGGAAUUCCUGGUGUAGCGGUGAAAUGCGUAGAAAUCAGGAGGAACACCUGCGGUGCAGACGGCUUUCUGGACCAUCAAUGACGCUGAGGCACGAAAGCGUGGGUAG